GAGUUUGAUCGUGGCUCAGAUUGAACGCUGGCGGCAUGCCUUACACAUGCAAGUCGAACGGCAGCAUGAUCUAGCUUGCUAGAUUGAUGGCGAGUGGCGAACGGGUGAGUAAUACAUCGGAACGUGCCCUGUAGUGGGGGAUAACUAGUCGAAAGAUUAGCUAAUACCGCAUACGACCUGAGGGUGAAAGUGGGGGGACCGCAAGGCCUCAUGCUAUAGGAGCGGCCGAUGUCUGAUUAGCUAGUUGGUGGGGUAAAGGCCCACCAAGGCGACGAUCAGUAGCUGGUCUGAGAGGACGAUCAGCCACACUGGGACUGAGACACGGCCCAGACUCCUACGGGAGGCAGCAGUGGGGAAUUUUGGACAAUGGGCGAAAGCCUGAUCCAGCAAUGCCGCGUGUGUGAAGAAGGCCU
rnacentral:rRNA from 1 species